CCUACGGGAGGCAGCAGUGGGGAAUUUUGGGCAAUGGCCGAAAGGCUGACCCAGCGACGCCGCGUGCGGGAGGACGCCCUUCGGGGUGUAAACCGCUGUCAGAGGGGAAGAAACACUCGGGUGGGAAUACUGUCCGGGCUUGACGGUACCCUCAAAGGAAGCACCGGCUAACUCUGUGCCAGCAGCCGCGGUAA
rnacentral:rRNA from 1 species